rnacentral:SRP_RNA from 1 species
UCCAUACAAUAAGACAUCUCGAACCGUGUCAGGUCCGGAAGGAAGCAGCACUAAGGGAAUCGGCUUAUGUGAUAUGGUCAGCCGGGUA